CUGUAACCUUCAAGCUGCUACUGAAAGCGGUAUGGACCCCACUCAGGUCCGCCAGAGAUGGCGUGUCGGGGGGAACGGGUCCGAGAUCACUAUCAGACGCAGCAGGGCUACGCAGCGUGCCAAAGCACAGAGAAGGUCUCCCGUUUAGAGUGUCGGGGCAGCUGCGGGGACGGGACCUCCUGCUGCGCCCCCCUCCGCAGCAAACGAAGGAAAUACACCUUCCAAUGCACAGACGGAUCCUCUUUUGUACAGGAGGUGGAAAAGGUCGUCAAGUGUGGCUGCACAAAAUGUCCAUCCUAAAAACGAAAAAGAAGAAAUACAUCCUCACACCCCCCUCUUUUGAAGUCUCCUGUUUUGUUUGACCUUUUUUGUCAGUGUUGGACUAAUGUCUUUUCCUUCAAAGGAGAUAAUGGAUUACUGUAAGAUAAAGAACAAACCUAUUUUUUAUUAAGAAGCGGAGAAAAAAAGACAAAAAAUUGAUUUUAGAUUUUUUUUUUUGCCAUCAUUUUAGGUACUGUGACAUUUUUUUUCCUUGGCAAAAUCACCUCAGACCAGAAUGGAAAGCAAACACCGUUGACACAUUUCACUUUUUUGUGUCUUACUUUGUGCCAUUCUUUUAUGUGGUUUUCUGGACUGCCGUAACUCAUUUCACCUGGACUUUGUGAAGGUGAGAUAUAGUAUCUCUAUGGAGACUAUGAGCGGAUUCGCUGAUAGUGGAGGUCUCCCCUCCUGCUUCCUUACAGUGUACAACACAAACACACACUAUCAUAGCUGCUCCUAUUCGUUCACACACACAAACACAACUCAGCCACUAAGUGUACACACAUGAUCUCUUCCAGUAUGCGUGCGCACACACACACACACACUCUCUUCCGAUUCACAUUAUAAACCAUGUGUAUUUAUUGUAUCAAAAAUACUGUCACAUACUUAUACUCGGUAUAGCCCUUCAUUUCCCUGGAGUUACAGUUGGAAUUUCUUAAUAUAUAUUAAUUUAUAUUCGUCCUUUUACCAAUUUAAAUCACUCAUAGCUUACUGAGUAGAGUAACUAACGUUGUGUCUCCUUCAUUUGGUUGGUUUGACCAAUGGGACUGUUGUAUUUACCAUAAAAAAAAAGAAAAACAAGAGAAAAAAAA